rnacentral:rRNA from 1 species
UCAGCCGCCGCGGUAACACCGGCAGCUCWAGUGGURGCCRUUUUUAUUGGGCCUAAAGCGUUCGUAGCCGGYUUGAUAAGUCUCUGGUGAAAUCCYAUAGCUUAACUGUGGGAMUUGCUGGAGAUACUAUYAGRCUUGAGGUCGGGAGAGGUUAGSGGUACUCCCAGGGUAGGGGUGAAAUCCURUAAUCCUGGGAGGACCACCUGUGGCGAAGGCGSCUAACUGGAACGAACCUGACGGUGAGKRACGAAAGCCAGGGGCGCGAACCGGAUUAGAUACCCGGGUAGUCCUGGCCGUAAACGAUGYGGACUUGGUGUUGGRAUGGCUUCGAGCUGCYCCAGUGCCGAAGGGAAGCUGUUAAGUCCRCCGCC